rnacentral:rRNA from 1 species
GAUGAACGCUAGCUACAGGCUUAACACAUGCAAGUCGAGGGACCGGCGCACGGGUGAGUAACACGUAUCCAACCUGCCCUUUACUCGGGGAUAGCCUUUCGCAAGAACGCUUAAUACCCGAUGUAAAGGAUGGGGCUGCGUUCCAGUAGGUGGUUGGUGAGGUAACGGCUCACCAAGCCUUCGAUGGAUAGGGGUUCUGUGAGGAAGGUACCCCACAUUGGAACUGAGACACGGUCCAAACUCCUACGGGAGGCAGCAGUGAGGAAUAUUGGUCAAUGGGCGUUAGCCUGAACCAGCCAAGUAGCGUGAAGGAUGAAGGCUUAUGGGUCGUAAACUUCUUUUAUAUAAGAAUAUGUAUUAUAUGAAUAAGGAUCGGCUAACUCCGUGCCAGCAGCCGCGGUAAUUC